GACGAACGCUGGCGGCGUGCUUAACACAUGCAAGUCGAACGGAAAGGCCCUGCUUUUGUGGGGUGCUCGAGUGGCGAACGGGUGAGUAACACGUGAGUAACCUGCCCUUGACUUUGGGAUAACUUCAGGAAACUGGGGCUAAUACCGGAUAGGAGCUCCUGCUGCAUGGUGGGGGUUGGAAAGUUUCGGCGGUUGGGGAUGGACUCGCGGCUUAUCAGCUUGUUGGUGGGGUAGUGGCUUACCAAGGCUUUGACGGGUAGCCGGCCUGAGAGGGUGACCGGCCACAUUGGGACUGAGAUACGGCCCAGACUCCUACGGGAGGCAGCAGUGGGGAAUAUUGCACAAUGGGCGAAAGCCUGAUGCAGCAACGCCGCGUGCGGGAUGACGGCCUUCGGGUUGUAAACCGCUUUCGCCUGUGACGAAGCGUGAGUGACGGUAAUGGGUAAAGAAGCACCGGCUAACUACGUGCCAGCAGCCGCGGUGAUACGUAGGGUGCGAGCGUUGUCCGGAUUUAUUGGGCGUAAAGGGCUCGUAGGUGGUUGAUCGCGUCGGAAGUGUAAUCUUGGGGCUUAACCCUGAGCGUGCUUUCGAUACGGGUUGACUUGAGGAAGGUAGGGGAGAAUGGAAUUCCUGGUGGAGCGGUGGAAUGCGCAGAUAUCAGGAGGAACACCAGUGGCGAAGGCGGUUCUCUGGGCCUUUCCUGACGCUGAGGAGCGAAAGCGUGGGGAGCGAACAGGCUUAGAUACCCUGGUAGUCCACGCUGUAAACGGUGGGUACUAGGUGUGGGGUCCAUUCCACGGGUUCCGUGCCGUAGCUAACGCUUUAAGUACCCCGCCUGGGGAGUACGGCCGCAAGGCUAAAACUCAAAGGAAUUGACGGGGCCCCGCACAAGCGGCGGAGCAUGCGGAUUAAUUCGAUGCAACGCGUAGAACCUUACCUGGGUUUGACAUGGAUCGGGAGCGCUCAGAGAUGGGUGUGCCUCUUUUGGGGUCGGUUCACAGGUGGUGCAUGGCUGUCGUCAGCUCGUGUCGUGAGAUGUUGGGUUAAGUCCCGCAACGAGCGCAACCCUUGUUCACUGUUGCCAGCACGUUAUGGUGGGGACUCAGUGGAGACCGCCGGGGUCAACUCGGAGGAAGGUGGGGAUGACGUCAAGUCAUCAUGCCCCUUAUGUCCAGGGCUUCACGCAUGCUACAAUGGCUGGUACAGAGAGUGGCGAGCCUGUGAGGGUGAGCGAAUCUCGGAAAGCCGGUCUCAGUUCGGAUUGGGGUCUGCAACUCGACCUCAUGAAGUCGGAGUCGCUAGUAAUCGCAGAUCAGCAACGCUGCGGUGAAUACGUUCCCGGGGCU
rnacentral:rRNA from 1 species